rnacentral:tRNA from 1 species
AAGUAUGUGACUUAGUGGUUAGGGUAUUUGGCUCAUGAUCAUAAGGUUGUGAGUUCAAUUCCUGCCAUAUUGU